AUGUAAGAUGAGAUAAUUAUACCCUUGAUCAAUGAGUCGGUCGUCAUCUGAUUGUAUCAUUGUCUCUGUUUAUAUGCAAUAUAAAAGAACCUGAUCUCAGGUUCUUUUUUUG
rnacentral:sRNA from 1 species